rnacentral:rRNA from 1 species
CACGUAGGCGGCUUCGUAAGUCUGAUGUGAAAUCCCCCGGCUCAACCGGGGAACUGCAUCGGAUACUGCGGGGCUGGAGUGCAGUAGGGGAGAGUGGAAUUCCAGGUGGAGCGGUGAAAUGCGUAGAUAUCUGGAGGAACACCAGUGGCGAAAGCGGCUCUCUGGACUGCAACUGACGCUGAGGUGCGAAAGCCAGGGGAGCAAACGG